rnacentral:hammerhead_ribozyme from 1 species
GAACUGCGUAGGAGUCCCACAAUAGGACGAAACGGCCGUCCAGUGC